AACGAACGCUGGCGGCAUGCCUAACACAUGCAAGUCGAACGAGACCUUCGGGUCUAGUGGCGCACGGGUGCGUAACGCGUGGGAAUCUGCCCUUGGGUUCGGAAUAACAGUUAGAAAUGACUGCUAAUACCGGAUAAUGUCUUCGGACCAAAGAUUUAUCGCCCAGGGAUGAGCCCGCGUAGGAUUAGCUAGUUGGUGAGGUAAAGGCUCACCAAGGCGACGAUCCUUAGCUGGUCUGAGAGGAUGAUCAGCCACACUGGGACUGAGACACGGCCCAGACUCCUACGGGAGGCAGCAGUGGGGAAUAUUGGGACAAUGGGCGAAAGCCUGAUCCAGCAAUGCCGCGUGAGUGAUGAAGGCCUUAGGGUUGUAAAGCUCUUUUACCCGGGAUGAUAAUGACAGUACCGGGAGAAUAAGCCCCGGCUAAACUCCGUGCCAGCAGCCGCGGUAAU
rnacentral:rRNA from 1 species